GGGGGUGACUGGGUGACAGGCACUGAGGGGGGCACUUGACGGGAUGAGCACUGGGUGUUAUUCUGUAUGUUGGCAAAUUGAACACCAAUAAAAAAUAAAUUUAUUAUUUAAAACAAAAACUACAGCUACUUAUGAUAAAAAUUAAAUAGUAACUCCAGUGAUCCUGAAAAUGAAGAAUUAGAGAAGACUUAAAAAAAUAAAAUAAAAAAGAGGAAGUCCCGCAUUGCUUCAGGUGAUGCACCUCGGCCUGUUCCCGGAACCUCGGGUCCCAGAACUACUCCUUCCUCUCUCAGGUCUGAGGCUGGUGCAGGCCCGGCGGAGGGGACCGGGGCGCUGGCGGGAGCCCGGGAGCCAGGAGCGCAUGCGCCGCGAGUGGGCGGUUCCCUUGUCCCCCGCGGCUCCUUCAGCGCCUGCGCCGCCCGCACCGCAGGCUGCCGUCCUCUGGCGCAGAGUUCAGAUCACUGUUGAGUCCAGGUUCAGCAAAAACAGCCAGGCCAACAAGUUAGAAGCACUCCCAGCUGCUUGAGCUUGCACAUUGAAUUCAGUCACUGGUUAAUGCAUUUUCAGAGUCUGAAAAAUUAUGGAGAUGAAGCAGCUUGAUGAAGAGAUGUUCAUUACUCUUUCACAUGGACAAUCAUUUAUUGGUCUACUUAUGUUAUCACAAAACUUCUGAGGAUGCCUUAGUGGGUCAUUCAGAUGACUUUAUGCUGUACACAUCACUUUGAGAAAGUACAGAUUAAUAACAGGUGUUACUGCUGUGAGAUAUUGUGUAGGCUGAAAAUGCAGUCCUAUUUUAGAAGAAAUCUUUGACUCCUCAAAAAUAUAUAUAAAAGCAGCCCCCAAAUGGUUCUGUAUUUCAGUUGAUUUUAUUUUAGAAUUGUUUAUGUUACUAGGAUUUAUGAAUGUUGCUCCCUUGAACGAAUGACAUAUUUUUUAUCUUUCAUUGUGGAUUUUAAUAGAAAUAGUGUGCUUUUUAUGAAAUAAAACCUCUCUGAAGUCAUGCCUAAGGCUAUUU
rnacentral:lncRNA from 1 species